GAUGAACGCUGGCGGCGUGCUUAACACAUGCAAGUCGAGCGAAGCACUUAUCAUUGACUCUUCGGAAGAUUUGAUAUUUGACUGAGCGGCGGACGGGUGAGUAACGCGUGGGUAACCUGCCUCAUACAGGGGAAUAACAGUUAGAAAUGGCUGCUAAUGCCGCAUAAGCGCACAGGACCGCAUGGUCCGGUGUGAAAAACUGAGGUGGUAUGAGAUGGACCCGCGUCUGAUUAGGUAGUUGGUGGGGUAACGGCCUACCAAGCCGACGAUCAGUAGCCGGCCUGAGAGGGUGAACGGCCACAUUGGGACUGAGACACGGCCCAGACUCCUACGGGAGGCAGCAGUGGGGAAUAUUGCACAAUGGGGGAAACCCUGAUGCAGCGACGCCGCGUGAAGGAAGAAGUAUCUCGGUAUGUAAACUUCUAUCAGCAGGGAAGAAAAUGACG
rnacentral:rRNA from 1 species